rnacentral:sRNA from 1 species
AUUAUAAAUUUCAAAUAUUUAUAAAAUUAGAAACUUCAAAAAGGAUUAAUAUCGACCCAAACUUCAUCAUUGAAUUUUGAGUGUUAUAUCUAAGAUUUCUCUCGCAGUAUAUCGUCCCGUAUUAAUAUCUUUUAUAUUGUUUAAAUUUCUUGUAAAAUU